UACGUAGGGAGCAAGCGUUGUCCGGAAUCAUUGGGCGUAAAGCGCGUGUAGGCGGCUUGAUAAGUCUGCUCUGAAAGCCCGGGGCUCAACCCUGGGAGGCGGGUGGAUACUGUCGAGCUCGAGUCCGGAAGAGGCGAGAGGAAUUCCUGGUGUAGCGGUGAAAUGCGCAGAUAUCAGGAGGAACACCAAUGGCGAAGGCAGCUCGCUGGGACGGUACUGACGCUGAGACGCGAAAGCGUGGGGAGCAAACAGG
rnacentral:rRNA from 1 species